AGAGUACAAUUAUUGCCAAACAAAAAAAGACACCAUGAUCAUUCUAUUCUUCAGCAUUCUUUUUAGCAUUCUAGUCUCUGGUUCCUCGUUCAGCGACAAAGUCCGUCAGACUCCAGCUAACAUUUACGACAAACCAGGACAAACAGCCAAAAUCCAAUGUUCACACAAUAUUCCAAACUACUACAGAAUCCUCUGGUACAAGAAGUUAGAAAGACAGCUGCAGCUCCUGGGAUAUAUGGAUUAUGGCAACGCUAGUCCAGAGCCUGGACUGGAUGUGAAGAUGGAUGGAGAUGCAAGUCAAGGCAGGAACUGUACAUUAACUAUUGAAAACCUCAGUGUGAACAGCAGUGCAGUUUACUUCUGUGCUGCCAGUCUGCACAGUGCUGCAUAACACCGAUCCUCAGUACAAAAACCUCCUCGUCUCACAGUUUUCAUUUCUGUACAACAGUUA